CGGGGCGUAGCUCAGUUCGGAUUAGAGCGCUUGGUUUGGGACCAAGAAGUCGGUGGUUCAAAUCCACUCGCCCCGACCA
rnacentral:tRNA from 1 species